GGUUGAACGCUAGCGGCAGGCCUAACACAUGCAAGUCGAACGGAAUCACGGUUCAGCUCGCUCGAAGAUGGGGAGAGUGGUGCACGGUUUCUAACGCGUGCACCUACCUCGACAGCGGGGAUAAGCCCUCGAUAGAACCAUUAAACACCCCACAGGGAAAAACGGGGGCAUCUUCGGGUUUGCACUUUUUGGUGGGGACCAGAUGUCGGGCUCGCUUGUUAUUGCUGUAUGGCAUACUAACGCCAUACUCCGUCAUGUUUUGAAGAGGCUCUAAGAGCACUUCCACUAACUAUGCCAGACACUACGAGACGCAAAGGGAGGAUUUGAACAUUUGAAAUUGGCCCAACAUCCCCAGGAUGCCCAGGCAUAUGCUCCUGUCUUUUGCACUGUUAGCCAGGAUAACUCUUGCUUUUGAGGUAUGAAAGAAGAUAGGNUCUUCUUCCUGC
rnacentral:rRNA from 1 species